rnacentral:tRNA from 2 species
GCGCCCGUAGCUCAGUUUGGAUAGAGUACCUGGCUACGAACCAGGAGGUCGGCGGUUCAAAUCCGCCCGGGUGCG